AGACGGGUGAGUAACGCGUGGGAACAUACCUUUUGGUUCGGAACAACACAGGGAAACUUGUGCUAAUACCGGAUAAGCCCUUACGGGGAAAGAUUUAUCGCCGAAAGAUUGGCCCGCGUCUGAUUAGCUAGUUGGUGAGGUAACGGCUCACCAAGGCGACGAUCAGUAGCCGGUCUGGGAGGAUGAUCAGCCACAUUGGGACUGAGACACGGCCCAAACUCCUACGGGAGGCAGCAGUGGGGAAUAUUGGACAAUGGGCGCAAGCCUGAUCCAGCCAUGCCGCGUGAGUGAUGAAGGCCCUAGGGUUGUAAAGCUCUUUUGUGCGGGAAGGUAAUGACGGUACCGCAAGAAUAAGCCCCGGCUAACUUCGUGCCAGCAGCCGCGGUAAUACGAAGGGGGCUAGCGUUGCUCGGAAUCACUGGGCGUAAAGGGUGCGUAGGCGGGUCUUUAAGUCAGGGGUGAAAUCCUGGAGCUCAACUCCAGAACUGCCUUUGAUACUGAGGAUCUUGAGUUCGGGAGAGGUGAGUGGAACCGCGAGUGUAGAGGUGGAAAUUCGUAGAUUUCGCAAAGAACACCA
rnacentral:rRNA from 1 species